rnacentral:rRNA from 1 species
UUAGGUUAAGCUAGAAAGGGCGCACGGUGGAUGCCUUGGCACUAGGAGCCGAUGAAGGACGGGGCAAACGCCGAAACGCUCCGGGGAGCUGUAAGCAAGCGUUGAUCCGGAGAUGUCCGAAUGGGGGAACCCCCUGUCCGUAAUGGGA